GACGAACGCUGGCGGCGUGCUUAACACAUGCAAGUCGAACGGAAAGGCCCUGCUUUUGUGGGGUGCUCGAGUGGCGAACGGGUGAGUAACACGUGAGUAACCUGCCCUUGACUUUGGGAUAACUUCAGGAAACUGGGGCUAAUACCGGAUAGGAGCUCCUGCUGCAUGGUGGGGGUUGGAAAGUUUCGGCGGUUGGGGAUGGACUCGCGGCUUAUCAGCUUGUUGGUGGGGUAGUGGCUUACCAAGGCUUUGACGGGUAGCCGGCCUGAGAGGGUGACCGGCCACAUUGGGACUGAGAUACGGCCCAGACCCCUACGGGAGGCAGCAGUGGGGAAUAUUGCACAAUGGGCGGAAGCCUGAUGCAGCAACGCCGCGUGCGGGAUGACGGCCUUCGGGUUGUAAACCGCUUUCGCCUGUGACGAAGCGUGAGUGACGGUAAUGGGCAAAGAAGCACCGGCUAACUACAUG
rnacentral:rRNA from 1 species